UACGUAGGGGGCAAGCGUUGUCCGGAUUUAUUGGGCGUAAAGAGCGUGUAGGCGGCCAGACAGGUCAGCUGUGAAAACUCGAGGCUCAACCUCGAGACGUCGGUUGAAACCGUCUGGCUAGAGUCCGGAAGAGGAGAGUGGAAUUCCCGGUGUAGUGGUGAAAUGCGUAGAUAUCGGGAGGAACACCAGUGGCGAAGGCGGCUUCCUGGCCUGUUCUUGACGCUGAGGCGCGAAAGCUAGGGUAGCAAACGGG
rnacentral:rRNA from 1 species